AGAAUGAACGUUGGCGGCGUGGAUUAGGCAUGCAAGUCGGACGGGCCGCAAGGCCAGUGGCGUAAGGGUGAGUAAGGCGACGGCAAUCAUCCCCACGGUUGGGUAUAGCCGCGAGAAAUCGCGGGUAAUCCCCAGCGACGCGAGGUGUCGGCAUCGACGCCCCGCAAAGGCUCGCCGCCGUGGGACGAGCCGUCGUGGUAUUAGGUCGUUGGCGGGGUAACGCCCACCAGCCUGCGAUGCCUACCGGGUGUGCGAGCAGUCGGCCCGGCACACGUGGGACUGAGACACUCGCCCAGCCUCCGUACGGGAGCCUGCAGUCGAAGAACUCGUCGACAAGUCGGGCGCAAGUCCUACGGACCG
rnacentral:rRNA from 1 species